UUAGCUCUGCCUUGACAUCAGUCUUGUAUCCUCUGUUCUCAGUCGAGGUCAGUUUUCGGGUCUUUUUCCGGUGUUCUCCUUGAAUAGGGUAUAUGGACGACAUACGCACUGACACUUUCACGCUCACAGUGACGGCUCCUGGGCUAGUAUGAGAGGCCGGGGGUGGAGUCCUCUCUGCGUGACCCAUGGAUGACAUUUCACUGUCCUCUGCUUCCAACAUCGCAGAUGAGAACACCAGGCCUUGUUAAUAUUUUCUCUCUUGAAGUAACAUGUUCUUCGUGUCAGUAAACAUGCAACUCUCCCCACCCCGGCUGUCCCAUCCGCCCACAAGUUUUCAGGGCUUCACGGGUUUGUGAGGGUGAGGGGUAAGGACGGGCAGGGGCCUCAGCGGACUGCGUGGGUGACCGGAGGCCUUAGACCCCCCUGGUGUGCUCCCCACGCACUCCUGAGGUCUUGGUCAGGAGCGUUUUACUAGAACACAGCCAUGCACACUCGCCCGUGCCUGCUUUCCCGGUGUAACAGCAGAGGGGAGAGGUGGCUGGCUCCGGGGACUCGUGGCCCGGGGCUCGAUGUACGGUCAACACGCACGACCCCUGACGUGACCCUGAGGACACACACCCUCCUCCUGCGGGAUUCCCGCCCAGACCAGCCCCGGGAAGAGGGUCAGCAGACACACCCACACGUGGGGCACCACGUGGGGCGCCGUACACGGAGCAGUGCCCUCCAACCGCACCCGCCCCUGCUCUCCCCUCCCACUUUCAGGUGGUCGGGGGGGGGGGGGGGGAAGGGAGGGCUGAUCCUUCCUUUGCGUAGUUGAGAUCAGGGGCUCCGGGGUUUUCUAGGGGUUUAAGAUCUUUGGGAAUCCCCAGGAGGCGGGGAGGCAGGCAGCCCGCGGAAUGCAGCGCUCAGCAACCACGGGGGAUCCUGGGCUCUCCCCUGCACACCUCCCGGCCCACCCCUGCACGCCUCCACCUCUGCACGUCGCCCGGCCCACCGCCAGGCCAUCCAACUCCCACACGCCGGUCCGACCCAGGAGUGAAGGCGUGCGGAUGAGGGGCUGGACGGCCCGGCCCCCUCCGCCCCCGCCUGCUGAGCAGCAUGAAGGUGGUGAGGGGGUAGGGGUGCCGCCGGGGGGGGGGGGGCGGUGGCUAUGGGGCUGGCCCCGCCAAGCAGCCCCCAGUCUGUGAUUUCCUUCCAUUGGUCCUGGUCCCAGGCCAGCUGAGCAAACGCUGACCCACAUUUCCACUGAGCCCGGGCGGAAAGUAGGCCACCAGCGAGGCUGGAGCCGGGGCGGCCAGCCGCAAGGCUCAGGGCCGCCAGCGCCUGCUCAGAAUUUCCAGGCCUGGAAGACGGAGAGAAAGGCCUUCCCCCUGGUCCGUGGGCACUGCUGGCCUCACCGGGCUGGGGGGCAGGCAGAGCCCUGGUUCACUGGCUCUGUCGAGGAGUCUGACCCUCGGCCUGCACCUCCCACGCUCCCAGGGCGGGGGACAGCCUGGGCAGGGGACAGAGACAGAGCUGCCGGACUGGGUGACACAGCCCCUUCCCACGGGGGCUGGCUGUGCCUCUGUAAGGGGCCCCCUCCCUGGGACCCCUUCACUCCCUAC